CUCAAUGCUGAUCUGAGGCUGUGUGAUGAUACAGUCUUGGCUCCCACAGAGCCUGACGGGGUCUGCUCCUCGCUCUGUUGGGACGUGGCCCCGUGAGAGCGAGGGCAAGGUUAACUAGGGAACACCUGUUAGCCUCUUCCUCCACAUACACCUGCAAACACUGCGGAGACAUCGGACCACCCACAGGAGGCAAGGGAAGGAAAAGGAAGGAUUCGGGCUGUCUCAUUUGCUGAUGAAUUCCCAGAGCCUAGCAGAGCAACUUGAACGUGAUGAACACUCGGUGAAGGAACCAACAAGCUCCCACCAUCCAACAUCUUCAACUUCAGAUGCAAGCCGGUCUGUUGCUGUCUCCCUGGAGUUUCGCCAUUGGACAAUUUCCUGUCCAUGGAUCCUCAGGAGAUUAUGCUGAAAUUCCAUUCCCGGUGUCACCAGGAGUGAAACUAACUAAACUGAACCCUAGAGAACGCGGUUUAAUACAUAAGAACACAGCUAAGUAAUUGCUAUGUUGAACAGAAGAGGAAAUCAGUCACUAUAAAACUCAUGCUGUAGGAUAACUCAUUUCCAAGCAAGAUCACAAUGGGAUUCACCUAAAUAGGAUUAAACUUUUAUGAUUUUUUUUUUAAAGGGACCCAUUCAAUCAUCAGACUAAGAGAAACAUUUCAUUUCACUUAACUAAAAGGUCAGAACUUUUUGAUGUCCCAGUUACAUAGGCAGUAUGUUAUGCACAAGCUCAUCAGAACAUAAUGGAUGACUUCAGUUAUAUAAAAGUUCAGCCACGUUGAAACUCCUGCUGAACGAUCCCUAGAGGAAAACCCUUUUUGCCACUGACUUUGUAAUCAGAUGUUGUAGCUCUCCACCGGAAUCUUUUGAAUGAUUUCUGAAAAGGAGAGGCCAUCAGUUCAGAUGUGCCAUUUAUUGUCUGUCAGAGGGGAAUUUGCAAAUGCAUGUGACCCUCUAGGAAGCAGAGCCCUUCCCUUCUCCGAGAAAGGCGAUGAUAAUUGGACUUUACAUAUGUUUCCCUUUUUGAGAUACAGACCACAGAGUUUGUUUAUGACUAUCUUUAGCACGAACAGGAAACUUGCAGUGAAACUCAAACGGAGGGGAGUAGAGUUAAAAUGUCAUAAAACUCAUGAGAAAUAUGUUCCAAAUGAUCCAGUGGCUUUCAAAAGCCCAUUUUAAACACACAAGAAUGAUGCAGCAUAGUUGUGUUUCCAGUAGCAGGGAGAGGCAUUGCUGUGCCAACCGUAUGUUCUGGCCCUGUGACCAGCUGCUCAUUAUUUGCCAGAAGAAUAGCUGGGUGGGACCACGGCUGGGCUGUGGAAAAAGUGUUUCUCUGUGAGAAACUUACAAGUUUGUAUGAAGGGCAAACCAGGAAUGUUGAUCUUUAGCAACACCCUAACCCUACCCUUAACCUCAGCACUAGCUUUGGUUUUUGAAAACAGGAUAGUUCAUAUGAGUAACCUGAGGAGACAGCAUUCGAGGGUGUUCACACCACCCCUUAGGAGGGUACCAAACUUCACUAAUCUCACUUCUGUUGUGAGUCACGUCUGCACCAGUGUGUAUCCCCAUCAGUCAGAAUAGGCCGGGUUCUGCUGUGGCAACAACAACAAAAAAGCUUAAAAUCAACCAAAAGCAUCGGUUUAGGGAAGACUAGUGGACGGUGAGAAAAUGUUUCUGAGGUAAGGAGAACGUUUCUCUUUGCCUUUGAACCGGAGACAGACAACGGUUGAGAUGAUGGCUGCCCUAUUCACCUGGCUUCCGGAGGCAGAAGACGAGCGGCAUAGCUAGCCCCAGCUGACUUGCAAAGCAAAUAAACUUUUGGGAUUAUAAACCACUAAGAUUUAGCAGUAGAAUCUGGCUUAUCCUGACUAAUGCCGUAUCUACCGCAGUUUUACAGAUGAACAAACAAAUGCUCAGGCAGGUUAACUAGAUGACUCUAGUCAAGGGCCAGGGAAACCAUGUAUGAGCUCUAUUAACAUGUCAGACUGACUCUCAUUUGUCUCUGGCAGAGCCAUGAAAGACCUCAAUUUUUCCAUCGACUGCUGAGUCUUCAGGCUGAUGAAGUUAUUCUGAUCCCAUAUGCCCCGAAUAAGCUUGGUUGUUUUCAAGGAGAGCAAAAUUAACUAUUUAUUUAUUUAUUUAUUUAUUUAUUUAUUUGGUUUAGGAUCAUAGGUAGGGUGACCAACCAUCCCACUUUGCCCGGGACUGGGCAAUUCCCCAGGAUACAGGACUGUCAGGGAAGCCAGGAAAGACCCAGGCUAACUGGGAUGAGUGGAUCAUCCUAACUAUGGAGGUGAUAUCUCCUAGCAACACUCCAUAAUCACAUAGCAUAAACUCCCACUGCAGCUGAUAAUUCUUUUCAUCAUAAUAUUUAUUACAUCAUGUUGUAAAUGAAUCAGACUGUUCUGUGUCUAACUGCCCACAAGACCCUGAGGACUGUUUCUUGUCCAUUUUAUAGUGCCAAUACCUUGUACAGUGUUUGCCACUUCAAAAGAGCACAGUAAACAUUUGUUGCACAGAUGAAUGGAUGCCAUCUCUCUGUUGUUUUUCAUUCCCAAAACUGGUGUGGUAUGAUUGGCUUUUUCUCUUUUUGAGGAUCAGUUCUGCCUAGAAACUCGUUUAACUCUAAAGAAAGGUAGGAAUCUUCCUUGAUGGCAGCUACAAGCUUGCAUAAAGUUUUCAGUGUGACCCACAGUGUAAAAUUACAUAAACUUAGCAUUGAGUUUCAGCAUAAACCAAUUCCUUAUUAGACUGACUGAAUAAUUGAAUCUCCUUGUUUGGCAUUUGUUUAAAGACAGAAGGUCAUGGGACAAAUGGUGGGUAUUUGAGGCUGUGGAAACAUAUGUUAUAAAUUUGGUUUAGCUGUUUCUGGUAACUGGGAUUAUUGUGACUGAAGACCCAGGCCUCCCAAGUCUGCCCUCCACCCUUGGGAAUGCACAACAACAUGCCCUCCCAAACCAGAGGCAGGAAGAAGAUGUCCAUGGGCAUAUCUCAUGGGUGGACUGCACUCAUGCCCAGUUAAGGACAGCAAACAGUGGAUUGAGAAACUUGCUCAGGAGAAUUACAUCCAGGCCCCAUCCAGCUGGAUUUUUUCAUAACAGGCCUGUGAGGUGUGCUGAGAAAGUGUGUGGUAGUUCUUGACUCCUCUUACAAACUAAAACCUCAGAAUUCUUUGUUUUCAUUAAUCACCCGUAGUGAG